rnacentral:lncRNA from 10 species
GUCGGUCUCAUUCCCACCGUACCCCACCCCUCAACAGCACUGAGAUUUUUUCCAGCCAGUGGGUGAGCAGGGCUGAGUACUUGCCCCAGGCUACCAGCCUCCCAGCUGAGAAAGUGAGCAGGGCUUUGGUGCCUCCCUUCCUGUAGAGACUGCACACCAGAUUCAUGCCUUCCCCAGAGUUCUUGCCAGGAGACUUUGUGUUCAGUUGGAAUUGUUACAAAGUUCAGCUGGAGGUUUCCUUCCUCUUGUGGUCUUUUCCAAGUACUUCUGGCAGCCCUCCCCUAAAACCCCUUCGAGGCAAGUAUGAAAUAGCUUCCCAGGGAACACAGAGAGCCCACAGGGCUUUUUCUGCUGUUUCCUCUAUCCCUAUAUUUCAGUCACUCUCUAAACUGACUCAGCUCCAGAGUCUCAGUUCAUCAACCAGGCUGGAGUUCGGUGGCACCAUCUUGGCUCACUGCAACCUCCACCUCCCAGGUUCAAGUGAUUCUCCUGCCUCAACCUCCAGAGCAACUAGGACUACAGGCUCACACCACCACACCUGGCAAAUUUUUUUUUUUGAAAUGACAACG